GUGGGGAAUAUUGGACAAUGGGCGAAAGCCUGAUCCAGCCAUGCCGCGUGUGUGAAGAAGGUCUUCGGAUUGUAAAGCACUUUAAGUUGGGAGGAAGGGCAGUAAGUUAAUACCUUGCUGUUUUGACGUUACCAACAGAAUAAGCACCGGCUAACUUCGUGCCAGCAGCCGCGGUAAUACGAAGGGUGCAAGCGUUAAUCGGAAUUACUGGGCGUAAAGCGCGCGUAGGUGGUUUUGUAAGUUGGAGGUGAAAUCACCGGGCUCAACCUGGGAACUGCCUCCAAAACUGCAUGACUAGAGUACGGUAGAGGGUAGUGGAAUUUCCUGUGUAGCGGUGAAAUGCGUAGAUAUAGGAAGGAACACCAGUGGCGAAGGCGACUACCUGGACUGAUACUGACACUGAGGUGCGAAAGCGUGGGGAGCAAACAGGAUUAGAAACCCCUGUAGUCC
rnacentral:rRNA from 1 species